GACGAACGCUGGCGGCGUGCUUAACACAUGCAAGUCGAACGGAAAGGCCCUGCUUUUGUGGGGUGCUCGAGUGGCGAACGGGUGAGUAACACGUGAGUAACCUGCCCUUGACUUUGGGAUAACUUCAGGAAACUGGGGCUAAUACCGGAUAGGAGCUCCUGCUGCAUGGUGGGGGUUGGAAAGUUUCGGCGGUUGGGGAUGGACUCGCGGCUUAUCAGCUUGUUGGUGGGGUAGUGGCUUACCAAGGCUUUGACGGGUAGCCGGCCUGAGAGGGUGACCGGGCACAUUGGGACUGAGAUACGGCGCAGACUCGUACGGUAGGCAACAGUGGGGAAUAUUGCACAGUGGUCGGAAGCCUGAUGCAGCAACGCCGGGUGCGGGAUGACGGCCUUCGGGUUGUAAACCGCUUUCGCCUGUGACGAAGCGUGAGUGACGGUAAUGGGUAAAGAAGCACCGGCUAACUACGUG
rnacentral:rRNA from 1 species